CUCACUUUCGAUCUAUGAUAUGUUUACUCAGGUAAGGUUAUGUUCCUUAACAUAUAGAAUAAAUGAGAAUGUAACUUUUAGAACAUAGAAUAUCAAAUACACAACAUAGAAAUAUCAAGUUACAAAUGCAACUUCCAGAAAGAUAGAGCAUUUAUUACAUUCAACUGGUAUGCAAUGCGUAUGUGACAACGACAAGAAAUCCCUGACACACAAAAUGAGUACAUAUAUAGUAGUCCUUGGUUGGUUAAGAUUACCAACUGUAAGGAACUGCCAAGUAACAAAACAUUCGUCCGAGACAAAUAACACAAUUACAUAACAUAGUUUUACUUACCAAAUAGUUGACUAACUUCUAAGGCACUUUAUACUCUUGGCUAACUAAUAUUUAUUUAGUAACAAACUCGGCACUCUCAGCCAACUACAUCAGCCCCCCCCCCAGAAAGAGAGUCGUCCUCCAGGCAAUUAAAGCAAAAAUAGAGCUAUCUACAACAAAACUCUACUGAGGGGGGUCAAAGGAUGUCCCUGACAAGUUGAGGACGUUGGGAUAGAUGUGGAUACCGCUAUAGAGAGUCGUUGACGAAGGCACUGCACUUGCUUUGUACAGAUCCUCAAGUCACACUCAACGACAAGUUCUCAUUCCCCUGAACCUUUGACCUUAGAGAGGCACCUCCAUUAGGUGAACCUUUGUUUGUUCCAACUCCAAGACCAUGGCCUAAUACUAUUGCUCCUUUUGAGGCAAUUGCCUCCUUCACCUUGCCAACUAUACAUCUCUUUCUGCAAACUCUGCCUUUUGUUAAUCUAGUCUACUCUCUUGCUUAGCCAAUUAAGCGUCCCAUUUGGCCAAGGUGGCUUCCACAGCUACAUGACUCUCACGUUCCUUAGUGGCAAGCUAGGCUUGUUGGGUGAGUUGUUCUUGAAAUUUGCUAAUGUGGUCUGCCAACUCACCCCUAGUACUAUCUACCUACCAUAGUGCACUCUCUUUGGCUUCACUAGCUUCCUCAAGAGAAUCUAUCACCUGCCUCAAUUUAUAAAAGACGUCCCUAAAAUAUGUCUCCAUGUCAUGAAGUGCACUGAGCACUCAACCAUGCUUGCCAAUCAUAGGGGAUCUCAAUGGGUGCCAUGCCACCAUCAUAGCAGGUGUCUCCAUGGUCGACCAUCAAUGAGAUGUAAAACAUCGAGAAAACUCUCCCUUGCACUCCACUUGCAUGAAUGCAAGAAUCUUCUCAGUCUCAAUGGUCACUACGGCAAUGAGACCAAUGUCCAUUUGGCGUGGCAAAUCUACAACCUCAUGAGUGACCAGUGCUAUGUCUUCCAACUCUGCCAAGUAUUGUUGUUUGUGGUCUAGUCUAGAGAUUUGGAUAUGCAUCCCUUGAGUCUCAUCGUCACUAGACGACCCUUCUGAAUUCUCUCCUUCUAGAGUGUUGGCUUGUUUGAACUACGUAAUAGUAUCCCUUCCGAUCUCCUCUUAGGAUUCCUCAGGCCGAUUAGCCAUGAUCUUAGUUGAUGCCUCUAUUGUGUGAACUGCCUCUUCUGCUUGUACAACUAGCUCUAUUUCCCCCACUAGGUACUCAGGGGAGUGUUGAGGCAAUGAGGGUUGACAGUUGGCUGAGUAGGUUCAACGUAUCACUGGCCGCUCCACCAUCGCCACUACCAGAUCUCGAGGAUGAGAACUUGGAUCCACUUGACCGACUACAAUGUGUAUUGAGCUCUAAUUUUGAUAUAUUUAUGAAGGAAAUUAAUAAUAUGUUCCAUAUAUUCAAUAAGAUGUUUGUUUUCGAAGAAUAUUUUAAAAAAUUUAUUUACUUUUUAAUAUUCAAUAAAUUUGCUAAGUUAUUUCCAAGUUCUUCACUGAGUUUAUGUCAAGUCUUAAGUCUGUAAAAAAUUUGGGUUAGUCAUGAAAUUGUCAAAUCUGAGUUUUUCGACCAUGGUUCCAACCAUCUCCCUAACAAAAUGAUAUUACACAUCUACAUGGUUAGUCGAAGUAUGCUAAACAAAAAUUUUAGCCAAACAAAUUGUAAGUUGUGAAUCAAAAUUCAAUACUAUAUGACUCUUAAAAGUAAUAUUGUUACCCAAUCUUCGUAACCACAACGUCUUUGCAAGCAUGUCUUGCUACCAUGGAUUCUACUUUUGUUGUGCAUCAUGCAACUAUCUAUUGACGCUUACUCAUCAAACAUGCUACUACUCUUGACAAAGUAAAGACAUCUACCAAUCAAAAUCUACAAAUCCUUAUAUUUUACCAUGAUAACACAAACAAUAACCUAGAGUUCCUUUCAUAUGCUUGUAAACAUGAUAAUACAAAGCUUGCUUGAGUACAAUCUAAUUUUAUUGUACUUGGUGAAAUUAUCAACACAAUAAAUGUAGACAUAAAUUAACCAACUUGAACAAUAGUUUAUCAACGUUGCUCAAAGUACUUAUAGUUUACGAAUGCCUAAUCUUCGAGACUUCGAAAUACUCUUUAUUUUAGUCCCAAAAAGGGAGCUUUGAAAUGAGAUGCUUUAAAGUUGCUGAAACAUUGGAAAGAAAGAAACUUUAAAGCAAAUUUAAUUCUAAACAAGUAGUAAAAUAAUGUAGCAAAUUUUUUGUUCACCUAGGUGAACUUUUGAACAGACUUUACCAUGUUGUGAGGCAGAAAUAUCACGUGGUUUUGUCACUUUCCAAAUGGGUAGGUCUCAGAUUUAUUCCUACAAAACUUGGAACAAAGUGAAGGAAUAGAUGUAUCUCAGUCCACUUUCCACCUCUUCCUCAUCACUGCUGCUUAUAUCAUGUUCAAAUCUCACCUUUAUUUGACAACAAACAGCUGCAAACUUUAUCAACCUGCAACAGUUGUUAGUUUGAAUAGUAAAACUUUGACACAGACAACCUUGUGAGCUCUGUGAAAACCACAAAUCAAAUUUCAUUCAAACAUGACAACUAUGGCCCUUACAACAAGCCAAAAAAUGACAGUACUCAAAUUGAGUUUCAUAGGGUAACCCAGCCAAAAUACAGACAAUCUCUUUUAAUUCCUGAUAUGGAAGGACUCUAGCAUUGAUGCACUGUUGGAAGCUGAUUGUCAUUUUAAAAAAUGGAAAGAAACAAACACUAAGUUAAUUUGUAAAUUUGUCUAUCAAAUGAGAUUUGGUUUGGGGCUCAAAUCUGUAAAAGAUGCUAUUUUUAAUGCCCAACCCUAGUUGAUGCUCAUUUGAAUCUUAACAAAACGGAUUGUCCAGUUAAUUUAGAAUGCCAAUAGUAAAUUAUGUGAAGCUACAAGUUCCACUUGGUUGAGAUUCAUUUAAGGGCUUGAAUUUGCAAAAGACAAUAUCUAUCAUAGAUGGAAGACUCGGUGAGAACUCGGCGAGCUUGUGGCAGAAACUCAACUGCAUAAAAAAAAGGCCCAGACAUGUCAAAAAAUUAUCUUAAUUUUUUUUCAGGGGCAUAGCCACCGAAUCCCCACUUCCGGCUCAUAGGGAAACGAAAUGUUCCUCCGCAUCUCUUCUAUCGUUGUGUUUUUCUCACAUCUAACACCAUGUGUAGCUUGCAAUCACCACCCCUCAAAUCCUUUGGGGUCUCCACUCGCAGCCCCGACUAAUAAUUGGAAUCUCUUGUCAUAUAAGAAAAUUGAUUACAAUGAGGAGGUUUGGCAGUGGAGACUCGAAUGGAGAACCUAGACAACUAAUUUUAUCACUAUCUAGUAUCAUUGAUUAAUGACGAUUCAAAUGUAAUUAUUAGAAAUUUAGAACCUUUCCCAAACUUUUCGCUAGACCAGGGAAGGGGAAGAUGUAAAAUAUUGUAAUAUGCAACCUCUGAAUUAUGAUGAAUCAUGAUGAUGUUCGAAGGCAAUCAUCAUUAAAUUCAUAAUAGUUGUCAGCUAACUAUUAAAUCACGAUUUCACACGACCAUGCGAAAUUGUACUUAAUUUGCAUUCAAAUUUAAUAGAAAACACUUUUGUUCUCAUUUAUGGACUCAUCGGAUACUCAUUGAAAUUUUGCUAAAAAAAAAUGUGUUUCUGAUGAAAUUUAACCAAUUUUUUAAGUUGCUGAGUUUUUGCUGAGUGGAAAAUUUUGGGCUUGCCGAGUUUUAGCCAAGUCCGAGUUUCUCGACUAUGUUUAGUGUCCAACAAACGUCUUUGAGUUGUUCCUGCUUGGCAAAUGCAUAUGCCUUAGAGAAAUGUUGAAAUAAUUCUCUUUUCAGAAGUCAUUGAUUUAUACUCUAGACAGAUAAUUUGCCCUUUAUAACUCAGCAGAUUAUUGAAAAUUUUCUGGUGAAUGUUUCAAAGCCUACCAAGUUUGACUGAGUCUUACCUGAGUUGAUGCUGCCCAUUUUCCCAUCGAGUUAUGUCAAAGUUGAGAGUGAUGCACUAAUUUAUGAGAUUCUUGUGACAUAGUUUUCAUGAAUUGCAAGCAAGCAAUCUAUAUUGGAGACAAAUCUGACAAAUAUUUGACGAAAAAAUGUUAAAGAAAGCUGUAAUUGAUUAAAACAAAGUACUUAUUGAAAUGUUGGGUGCUGUCUUUCCUCAGACAUAUUUACGUUCAUAUUUCUAUUGGAAUUAUCUCCUUGAAUUUGCCCCUAUAAUGUACUGAAUUGUGAUAAACCAAUAAACAGGAGUCAUGGUAGCUUGGACUGGCAUUGAACACUUCCGUUUAGGAAGGUUUGAACCGCCGCCGGAAAAUGAUGAACUUGAGGAUGGAAAGCUAGAUCUGCGUCCAAGAUGGCAAUUGGGAGAAAUUUACGAGGCAGGCAAGAGUGAUUCACCCUCUCUUAAAAGGGCUCGAAUUUAUUCAUCUCUUCAAUCUUUAAACAAGUUAUGAGAAAGUCCUUAGUGCAAAACUUGCUAUUUGAUGUCAAUAUGUAUAAAUCUUGGCCUGUCAAUAGCUCUAGGUAAAAGCCUUGCCAAGUUUAUAAUUUUGGAUAUUUAUAAAUUCAUUCUGUAGGUAUGCAGUUUUAAGUAACAAAGAAUAAUUUACGGUAGAUACUUUGCCAUGGACAAUUAUUUCAUGAUGGAAUGUUGACCAUGAUGAUAGUGGGAAUAUUAAUACAGAGCCAAUCAAUUUGGAUAUAUACUGCAAGGAUUCUCUCGGUUGGAUCCUUGCUCAAUUGCUUAAGAAUUAAGACAAUAUAGUUAUUUAGUUUUUUGUAAUCCAUUAUGUUUCAAGUACAAAAUUUCGAAGGUGGUGCAUUGUUGUUAUUUCAAUACGGUUUUCUUAUCAGUAA